UGCUUUUAAAAUUUCAGAAGCAUUAAAAACAUGCAUAAUAAAAAAUUAUUUUAAUUAUACAUACAUAAUGUAUUGUGUUUAUAUAUAGGGGCUCUACUCAUUGAAAAUGUCUGGCUCACUAAGAAUUUAACUGACCUAACUGCUGCUAGAAGAUGGUGUGAAGUGCAAGAUUUAUGUCCAAUUCAGCACAAUUUUUCUAGUUACAUGGAAACCAUGAAUAAUGAUUCUGACAUGGUUAUGGAUGGCUAUAAAUCUUCCACAUUGUAAAAGAUUAAGAUUAUCACUGUCUCAGUGUGACUGCAUACAUAUGUAGGGCAGUUCACCGGAAUGGACCUACAAAUCCAUAUUGAAGUUGUCUGUGAAACAAUUAGUCAUUCAAAUUUAUCAAGUAAUAUAAAUUUUCAUUUCACUCAUUUUAUAACUGUACACUUUGAGAAUUGCAAGUCUCACAAACAUUAUGUGAAAUUUUCCUCCAAUUCAGGAGACUUAAGAAAUAAAAUGACAAUUACCUA